rfam:Trichobilharzia regenti genome assembly, scaffold: TRE_scaffold0042449
AUCUGAAUGACGAGUCUCAAACAGGACGAAAUGAGCAUCCUGGAU